UACGUAGGGGGCAAGCGUUAUCCGGAUUUACUGGGUGUAAAGGGAGCGCAGACGGUUAUGCAAGUCUGGAGUGAAACCCCACAGCUCAACUGUGGGCUUGCUUUGGAAACUGUGUAACUAGAGUACUGGAGAGGUAAGCGGAAUUCCUAGUGUAGCGGUGAAAUGCGUAGAUAUUAGGAGGAACACCGGUGGCGAAGGCGGCUUACUGGACAGCAACUGACGUUGAGGCUCGAAGGCGUGGGGAGCAAACAGG
rnacentral:rRNA from 1 species